rnacentral:lncRNA from 1 species
AUGAGGGUAGGUUAGUGGUAGACAUGUCUGUAUGUAGUGUUAUGAUAUGAGGGUAGGUUAGUGGUAGACAUGUCUGUAUGUAGUGUUAUGAUAUGAUGGUAGGUUAGUGGUAGACAUGUCUGUAUGUAGUGUUAUGAUAUGAGGGUAGGUUAGUGUUAUGAUAUGAGGGUAGGUUAGUGUUAGACAUGUCUGUAUGUAGUGUUAUGAUAUGAGGGGUAGGUUAGUGGUAGACAUGACUGUAUGUAGUGUUAUGAUAUGAGGGUAGGUUAGUGUUAGACAUAUCUGUAUGUAGUGUUAUGAUAUGAGGGUAGGUUAGUGUUAUGAUAUGAUAUGAGGGUAGGUUAGUGUUAUGAUAUGAGGGUAGGUUAGUGUUAGACAUGUCUGUAUGUAGUGUUAUGAUAUGAGGGUAGGUUAGUGUUAGACAUGUCUGUAUGUAGUGUUAUGAUAUGAGGGUAGGUUAGUGGUUACUUUAUCCUAUCCCAGGUAUUCCUUAAAGAGGUGGGGUUUCAGGUGUCUCCGGAAGGUGGUGAUUGACUCCGCUGUCCAGGCGUCGUGAGGGAGCUUGUUCCACCAUUGGGGUGCCAGAGCAGCGAACAGUUUUGACUGGGCUGAGCGGGAACUGUGCUUCCUCAGAGGUAGGGAGGCG